CCUACGGGUGGCAGCAGUGGGGAAUAUUGCGCAAUGGGCGAAAGCCUGACGCAGCGACGCCGCGUGAGGGAUGAAGGUCUUCGGAUUGUAAACCUCUGUCAGCAGGGAAGAACGGUCACUGUGCUAAUCAGCAGUGAAUUGACGGUACCUGCAAAGGAAGCACCGGCUAACUCCGUGCCAGCAGCCGCGGUAAUACGGAGGGUGCGAGCGUUAAUCGGAAUUACUGGGCGUAAAGCGAGCGUAGGCGGUAUGUCAAGUCAAGGGUGAAAUCCCCGGGCUCAACGUGGGAACUGCCUUUGAAACUGGCAAGCUGGAGUGUAGGAGAGGAUAGUGGAAUUCCAGGUGUAGGGGUGAAAUCCGUAGAUAUCAGGAGGAACAUCAGUGGCGAAGGCGACUAACUGGCACAUAACUGACGCUGAGGAGCGAAAGCGUGGGUAGCAAACAGGAUUAGAUACCCUGGUAGUC
rnacentral:rRNA from 1 species